rnacentral:hammerhead_ribozyme from 1 species
AUCUAUUUAACGAGUCCCGAACAGAACGAAACGCGCGUCCUGGAU